AACAGAGGAUCCCAGCUCCAAGAAGAUAGUCCCAUGGAGUUUUCGUAGAAACAGAGACACGCCAAUCUUUGUCAUUUUUUUUUUAAAGAAAAGAAAUUCCCUAUUUUCUUGUUCUUCCAUCUUCAAUCUUCAAGGAAUCGUUGCCAAACCCAACCAGGCUGGCUUGCCGUUUGCCAACAGAGUCUAUGAGCUCGUGCAUUGGGACUCAUGAAAAUGGGAGUUUUAGCAAAUGGCAAUUGCCAUGCGUGGUAUGCCAAUUGUAUUUCUGCUGUCCCAUUCUAAUAUAUUAAAGUGGCAACUUGGCACUAUCUUCUUUGGCUGCUGUAACUGUGUAAAAACCGAAAGGGGGAAAAUCUAAGGUCACAUGCUCAAAUCUUACUGGUCAACAGCUGCUCUGAGAGGUGUCAAAAAAAAUAUGGAUCACGAGGGUAGUUGUAUGCUGACAAACAGUAGUCUUCCCCAUGCUUUGGCUUCACAGGCCCCAUGAGACUGAGGAUUAGCUGUUUCUUCGAAACUAUUGGGAAUUGAAUUGCAAGUUUCUAUUUUUGGCCGAGUGGAGGACUCAACUCUUGGGAUAUCUUUUUAUGCUAAUGAUAAAAUAUUAUGAAUAGUAAUAAGAAUAGUCGAAUAAAAGUGGAACCAAAAGUGGCCCAUCAAGGCGUUGGAAGAGGAGGCUACUAGUGUAACGUCGUCCUCUAUGGGUGGAGUUAGACUCAGUGGAUAUCAUUCGUGUUCUUACUAAGUCAUUCGCGCACUUGAUUGAAACUAAAAACAUGGUUAAAAGACUUGCUUGAAUUCUUUUAGACGAUGCUAUUUUUGUUCAUUGUAAGCAUAAAUGUGAUUUUGGCAUGUGGUGUUGCAACCUUGAUUCUAGCCCCCUCCUUUUGAGGACCUUUCUCAUAAGGCUUCUUGUUGGGUUUUCAAUUACCCCCUCCUUUAUGCUCUCGAUGAGGUCUAUGGUUGUAAUUGUUUGUCUAUUAUUUUCCGUAAUUAUUUUGAUUGGACUUAAAUAUUUUUGUUAUUGUUAGUAAAGAUACAUUACUAAUAAAGUUAUACACUUUAUUAA